AUUGAACGCUGGCGGCAUGCUUUACACAUGCAAGUCGAACGGCAGCGCGGGCUUCGGCCUGGCGGCGAGUGGCGAACGGGUGAGUAAUACAUCGGAACGUGCCCAGUAGUGGGGGAUAGCUCGGCGAAAGCCGGAUUAAUACCGCAUACGACCUGAGGGUGAAAGCGGGGGAUCUUCGGACCUCGCGCUAUUGGAGCGGCCGAUGGCAGAUUAGCUAGUUGGUGGGGUAAAGGCCUACCAGGGCGACGAUCUGUAGCUGGUCUGAGAGGACGACCAGCCACACUGGAACUGAGACACGGCCCAGACUCCUCGGGGAGGCAGAGGUGGGGAAUUUUGGCCAAUGGGGGAAAGCCGGAUCCAGAAAUGCGGCGUGUGUGAUGAAGGCCUUCGGGUUGAAAAGCCCGUUUGGCGGGAACGAAAAGGACUGUGCUAAUACCGCGGUUCGAUGACGGUACCCGCCAAAUAAGCACCGGCUAACUACGUG
rnacentral:rRNA from 1 species